rnacentral:rRNA from 1 species
UACAGAGGGGGCAAGCGUUGUUCGGAAUUACUGGGCGUAAAUGGCGCGUAGGCGGCCUGUUAAGUCAUACGUGAAAUCCCCGGGCUCAACCCGGGAACUGCGUCUGAUACUGGCAGGCUUGAAUCCGGGAGAGGGAUGUGGAAUUCCAGGUGUAGCGGUGAAAUGCGUAGAUAUCUGGAGGAACACCGGUGGCGAAGGCGGCAUCCUGGACCGGCAUUGACGCUGAGGCGCGAAAGCCAGGGGAGCAAACGGG